rnacentral:lncRNA from 1 species
CUUUAUAGGCUCCUAGGACUCUGGUAAUUUUGAGUGUGGCAAUCCGGAGAAGCUAAAGAGCAAAUGCAUCCCUGUCCUGGAGGCCCAGGAGUACAUAGCUGUGAGUAGGCUGCAGCGACCAUGGCGGCUCCCCAUCCCGGGCACACUGCAGCUUCCUAUUGAUUUCCCCAGCCCUGCAGGCCUUUUCUCCCCUCCCUUUUCUUUAUCCUGUUUGCUUUCUGCCUUUUGGUUUUCUUUCUUUUAAAUUUAGUGAGGCGUUGGGCUCCUGUAGAGGGGACGCGGCAGAGCUGGCCCUGCUGAGUGUGUGCAGGCUUCCGGUUGCACCUCAGGCCCCUCACCAGCUGAAGGGCCACAGCGGGCAGCCCCUUCUUCAGAGACCCUCAAGGGUCGUCAGGGCUGCCCCUCUCUGUCCACAUCCCCGCUUCCCCAGGCAGUGGGAGGCACAUCCGCCCUGCCCUCUGUCUCCUUUUGGUCUGCAGCUUCCUUUGCCUUCCUUGUGCCUCUCCAUGGUAGAAUCCUGUAGCUUCAGGGCUGGCAGGGGUCUGAAGGAAUAUGGAGUUCAGUUUCAUUUCAUAGAUGAGGAAACCAAGGUCUGGAGGGAGUUUCUGAGGCCACACAGCCAUGGCUGGUUGCGCCAGCUGUGCCUGUGGCCGGCCGCUUCCCAGCCUCUGUGUAGAGCCCUUCUCACUGCCUCAGCCCCGCAUUGCUUCCCUGCUGUGCCUCACCCCGGCUUCCAGCUCUCCUCACCCCAUUGCCCUCCCUGCCUGUUUGCUGUGCGUGGGGUGUGGGAGACACAGGAGAAGCUUUCAAGAGUCACGGUGAUGUUCCAGCCCCGGGCAGAGCUCACCCCGUCUUCCACCCUGCAGAACGUGACCAGCAGUUCCUCUUCGAGGUUUAAGGCUGCACUGACCUGGAUACUGAGCAGCAACAAGGAUGUGGGCAUCUGGUGAGUGUGGCAUUGUCACGGGAGGCUGGGCUGCCACCGUCCUCACUUACCAACAGCAAGGGGCAGGCACGUGCUGCUGCAGACUGGAGAGCAGCACUGUCCAGUCCAGGUGAUGGGAUCCGAGCCCGCUGGCCAAGGCGUCCUGCUGGGGACAGGGAUGGCCUGUGCCUUCCUGGGCUGCAGCUUGACCUGUGUAGUGAGGCCUCAGCUUUAUUCAGUCUGGAAAGGACGUGGGAACUGCUGGGCUCUGUUCUGACCUGGUGUCCCCUGAGGUUCCUGCCCUGUUAGCACUGAGAGCAACCCUCUUGGGGGCAGGGUGUGCCAGCCAGCCUUGCAGAAGGGGCGGAGCCACACAGCCCCUUCCCCUGCUUCCCAUCAGAGUCUGUGUUCCGGUUCCAGCUUCUGAUAUUAACACACACUCUGGGGUUUUGUUCUCCUCUCCUCUAAUCCACCACAUUACUAAUUCCAUCACAGCGCAUCCAGCACGGCCCCUUGGGCAUCUUGGCCUAAAGCUCGGUAACUGGAUGCAUGGCACGAUUAAGAUCCAAUGGCUUAAACAGCUGCCCGGAGCGGCUCGGCCAUCUUCCUGCGCUGGGGAAGGCGGAGGAGAGUAGGAUUUUCUCCUCCACAGCACUCACUGGAGCUGCCAGCCUGGGAGGACGAUGGCACUUGCCUUUUCCUGCUGGAGGCAGCUGGGAGGGUAGUGAACAAGCUCACACAGCCGGGGUUGAAACCGGGGAGCAAGGAACGGGGUGCCACACAAGUAGUGAUUCCAGAGACACCAGUGUGGGCAUGGCGUGCCUGCAGAUCCCCACAUUGUCUCACCAGCCACUCAGUUGGGGACACGAGGGCAGGGGUCUGGCCCUGGUGUUUCCUUGUUGCCAUGGGCCUCAUAGGUGCUACCUGCUCUUUACAUGCUUAAACAGCUUUUGUGUCUGCUUUUCUGAGGAAGAGAGGCACAGCCUCCCGGGUUCUGUCUUUCAGUUCUUGCCACAUGCUUGCAAAACCAAGGAAUCAGUAAACAUUUCCAUUUCUCUGUGCUGGGAGGUGGGAAUCCAAUUUACAGCUUAAUCUUCUGCAUGCUGAGAGAGGCUGUCAACGACCCGGCAGAGGGGGAGGCCACUUCAGCGGCAGGGGUUCGAGCUGGCUGCCAUCUUUAAAGCUUCCGUCUUUCUAAGUAGCCAGCGUGGGGAAUUGCAGGCCAGAGUACGCCAGGACCGCGGCUGUUCUGUGUGAGCAGAGAAACCGUCCCUCCUGUGCCCUCCCCUGCUGCUGUGAGUGGGGCUUACACUGCAGUGUUUACAGCCCAUGUCCUGUUUCAGGCUGAAAGGGGAAGACCCAUCUGAGCUAGUGACCACCGUGGACAAAGUGGUCUGCCUGGAGUCCGCCCGGCCCCGGAUGGGCAUGGGCUGCCGCCUCAGCCGCGCCCUGCUCACCGCGGUUACCCAUGUGCUCAUCUUUUUCUGGUGCCUGGCCUUCCUGUGGGGGCUGCUGAUCCUCCUGAAGUACCGAUGGCGGAAGCUUGAAGAGGAAGAGCAGGCCAUGUAUGAGAUGGUGAAGAAGAUCAUAGAUGUGGUUCAGGACCACUAUGUGGACUGGGAACAGGACAUGGAGCGCUACCCCUACGUGGGCAUCCUUCACGUGCGCGACAGUCUAAUCCCCCCACAGAGCAGGCGGCGCAUGAAGCGAGUAUGGGACCGCGCCGUGGAAUUCCUGGCUUCCAAUGAAUCUCGGAUCCAGACCGAGUCCCACCGAGUGGCCGGGGAGGACAUGCUGGUGUGGAGAUGGACUAAGCCUUCCUCCUUCUCUGACUCGGAGCGAUAGGACAGGGCCUAAUCAGCCAGCCUGGCUUGGCUGUGCCACCCAGCUGGGGCAAGGACACAGACCCUCGGUGCUCAUUCACACCUGCCUUGAUUGCCCUCCUGGUCUCCAUUCUGGGACACAUGGGCUUACUUAGGGGAGCCAGGAGAACGGGGAAGCCCCUCCUCUAUGCCAGUAUUACUGACAGAAGGGAGAAUGGCUUGUUCUCCCUGGAUAAAUCCUGGAGGUUCUGCACUCAGCUAGACAGCAGACAGUGAUCCUGAAGUCCCUCGCUUGGGAGGUGGGUCGGGUGGUGGGCUGGGGUAGCAGGGGCCUGGGGAAAGCUUGGCCCAUGUGCCUUUGUGCUGUUCCCAGCGAGCUUAAGGGUGAGGGGAGGAAUCCCGCCCCACUCCUGCAUGGGCCUCUUUGUCCAGAGGAGGAGAUGUUAGAACUUACAGAACAGAGGCGGCUGGGAUCCGGAAGGGGCGGAAGCUCCAGCCACAGCUGCCUGUGCCUCAGUGCAUCUCACAGGUCAGCAGUGCAGCCUGAGCCGGGGUGGAGCACAGCCUCAUCACGACUGUGACCGGGCCUCUCCUGACCGGCUGGCCAGAACAGAUAGGGUGCAGCAUCAUGGCUGCACACUGCCCUCUGCAGGCCUCAUGGAGCAACGUGGGCCAUUAGCACUCUGCUAGGGAAGACCUGCUCCAAAAACACCCAGUGGGAGGCCUCAUUGGCUGAGGGAGGCUUUCCAGCAACUGGUCCAGCGGGCCUCACCCACAGCAGCUGGAGUAGCCCCUGGAGGUGACGCAGCUGCCCCUUUUGGACCUAUUGCUGUUCUGUUUCUUAAUAAAGUACCAUCUCCGUCUAGCCAUACGUUCACUGCCUUGUGUCUGGGUGGCCGCAGGCCUAGGGACUAAGCAAGCAGGUGCCCGCGGCAAGGCCUGUUCGCACAAUCCGGCUCCAGCCAGAAGGCUUUUGUAUUGAGGGUGGAGUGUCAGAAAAAUAAAAUAUUUAUUGAGAACGGA